rnacentral:rRNA from 1 species
AGCGAACGCUGGCGGCAGGCCUAACACAUGCAAGUCGAACGAACCUUUCGGGGUUAGUGGCGGACGGGUGAGUAACACGUGGGAACGUGCCUUUAGGUUCGGAAUAACUCAGGGAAACUUGUGCUAAUACCGAAUGUGCCCUUCGUGGGAAAGAUUAAUCGCCUUUAGAGCGGCCCGCGUCUGAUUAGCUAGUUGGUUGAGGUAAUGGCUCACCAAGGCGACGAUCAGUAGCUGGUCUGAGAGGAUGAUCAGCCACAUUGGGACUGAGACACGGCCCAAACUCCUACGGGAGGCAGCAGUGGGGAAUCUUGCGCAAUGGGCGAAAGCCUGACGCAGCCAUGCCGCGUGAAUGAUGAAGGUCUUAGGAUUGUAAAAUUCUUUCACCGGGGACGAUAAUGACGGUACCCGGAGAAGAAGCCCCGGCUAACUUCGUG